AUGAACGCUGGCGGCGUGCCUAAUACAUGCAAGUCGCGCGAACAGACGAGGAGCUUGCUCCUCUGACGUUAGCGGCGGACGGGUGAGUAACACGUGGAUAACCUACCUAUAAGACUGGGAUAACUUCGGGAAACCGGAGCUAAUACCGGAUAAUAUAUUGAACCGCAUGGUUCAAUAGUGAAAGACGGUUUUGCUGUCACUUAUAGAUGGAUCCGCGCCGCAUUAGCUAGUUGGUAAGGUAACGGCUUACCAAGGCAACGAUGCGUAGCCGACCUGAGAGGGUGAUCGGCCACACUGGAACUGAGACACGGUCCAGACUCCUACGGGAGGCAGCAGUAGGGAAUCUUACGCAAUGGGCGAAAGCCUGACGGAGCAACGCCGCGUGAGUGAUGAAGGUCUUCGGAUCGUAAAACUCUGUUAUUAGGGAAGAACAAAUGUGUAAGUAACUAUGCACGUCUUGACGGUACCUAAUCAGAAAGCCACGGCUAACUACGUG
rnacentral:rRNA from 1 species